rnacentral:rRNA from 1 species
AUGACACCUCCAUGGAGGGAAACGACGCACAAGAGCGGCACUAUCAUUGGCACUGACAACGUCAGGCAAAGAUUUCGCCCGGGACAUGACCAGCACCACCGAGAUCCAUCCGCCAUGGUCGACCAAGGAGAGCUGCAGACGACGACCGAAACAGAGCGGGGAAGUAACGGAGACCAUACACGCACGACGGACGCCUCUAGAGUGAGCCACCUCGCCGCCCAAACAGCUGAGGGAACACAUGAGCACCUGCGCAACGGCACCCACCAGAAUGAUGCCGCCACGCCCACCAUCCGGAGCCGCCGCUCCGGUGACGGAGGAGAUCCACCCUCACCCACCACCACCAGGCGUUGGACCGCGAGCACGCAGCUGGCCGCCCCUGCUGCCGCACUAGCGCAACUCCGACACCCACAGCUACCCAAAGUUUGCACCUUUCACCACAUGAAGGAGACCCACGACCGAGAUCUGAGUUGCAGGGCGACCAAAAUAUCAGCCACAAGGGCCAUCGAUGAGAGGAGGGCCAUGCCCCGAAUCCACUGA